ACUGUAUUAACCUGUCACACUGAAGGCCUAUAGGUUCACCACUGUACUAACCUGUCACACACUGAAGACCUAUAGGUUCACCACUGUAUUAACCUGUCACACUGAAGGCCUAUAGGUUCACCACUGUAUUAACCUGUCACACUGAAGGCCUAUAGUUUCACCACUGUGUUUAGAUAUUCAUGUUUCAUUGGAAGUUGAUAGUUGUUUGUUUUUUGCUUCGCUGGUUUCGGGAAGAAGUGAAAAGUCCUCACUGCCCGAGACCAAGUCAAGACCAAAUACAAAUGUAUCCGACACCGAGACAAGACCAAGACACUCAAUAUGUGGUCUCGAGACUGGACUCGAGUACUACAACACUGCUUUGUUGUUUCCAUCAAGUACACAACAUGUAAUGGCCCAUUUGAUUACCAAUCAACUUCUAAAAGGGCAGCAGCAAUCCUAUCAUUUCUUGCAUCAUGCUUU
rnacentral:lncRNA from 1 species